AUUGAACGCUGGCGGCAGGCCUAACACAUGCAAGUCGAGCGAGCGGCGGACGGGUGAGUAAUGUCUGGGAAACUGCCUGAUGGAGGGGGAUAACUACUGGAAACGGUAGCUAAUACCGCAUACCAUCAGAUGUGCCCAGAGGGGAUUAGCUAGUAGGUGGGGUGACGGCUCACCUAGGCGACGAUCCCUAGAUGGUCUGAGAGGAUGACCAGCGAAACUGGAACUGAGAGACGGUCAAGACGCCUACGGGAGGAAGCAGUGGGGAAGAUUGCACAAUGGGAGAAAGCCUGAUGCAGCCAUGCCGCGUGUGUGAAGAAGGCCUUCGGGUUGUAAAGCACUUUCAGCGGGGAGGCGUUACCCGCAUAAGAAGCACCGGCUAACUCCGUGCCAGCAGCCGCGGUAAUAC
rnacentral:rRNA from 1 species